UACAGAGGGUGCAAGCGUUAAUCGGAAUUACUGGGCGUAAAGCGUGCGUAGACGGUUAUGUAAGUCGGGUGUGAAAGCCCCGGGCUCAACCUGGGAAUUGCAUUCGAGACUGAAUAGCUAGGGUACGGUAGAGGGAAGCGGAAUUUCCGGUGUAGCGGUGAAAUGCGUAGAUAUCGGAAGGAACAUCAGUGGCGAAAGCGGCUUCCUGGACCAGUACCGACGUCAGGCACGAAAGCGUGGGGAGCAAACAGG
rnacentral:rRNA from 1 species